GACGAACGCUGGCGGCAUGCCUAAUACAUGCAAGUCGAGCGGACUUGAUGAGAAGCUUGCUUCUCUGAUGGUUAGCGGCGGACGGGUGAGUAACACGUAGGCAACCUGCCCUCAAGUUUGGGACAACUACCGGAAACGGUAGCUAAUACCGAAUAGUUGUUUUCUUCGCCUGAAGGAAACUGGAAAGACGGAGCAAUCUGUCACUUGGGGAUGGGCCUGCGGCGCAUUAGCUAGUUGGUGAGGUAACGGCUCACCAAGGCGACGAUGCGUAGCCGACCUGAGAGGGUGAUCGGCCACACUGGGACUGAGACACGGCCCAGACUCCUACGGGAGGCAGCAGUAGGGAAUCUUCCGCAAUGGGCGAAAGCCUGACGGAGCAAUGCCGCGUGAGUGAUGAAGGUUUUCGGAUCGUAAAGCUCUGUUGCCAGGGAAGAACGGUUGGGAGAGUAACUGCUCUC
rnacentral:rRNA from 1 species